CUGCCAAAAUAAAGAGUUGCUGGGAUUUGAGUGCGACUGGAACCCACACCUGUGAAUUUUGCUUGGCUCACCCGCAGCCCGGUCUCUACGAGCGAGCGUUUGGCUUUUGGCCGAACGGGGCAUGUGUUGGUUUUCUGGCCGAAUGGUGCA